rnacentral:lncRNA from 1 species
CGAUUUCACGUUAUAUUUAUACUGCUGUUAAAGGAUCGGAAAAAAGUCCUAUAAAAGAUGCAGAAAAGGGUAAACACUAAAAUGAAAAAUUGCAUAUUAACGACAAAAUAAAAAACAUACCUUUGUUUUAAACUAUCAGGCUUUGGUUCCACCUGGGAUUUAUAUAAAGGCUAUAACAAAUGAGUAGUGUGAGCAUGUUGAUAGUAAGAGUUUCCUCCUCAUAUUCAUGAUUAUAUGUUUACGCAGUUGUCCCCCAUCAUUAUCAUUCUUUUAUUACUUCCCUUAGUAAGGGGUAUAAAAAAAAUUUCGGGGCGGGGGGGGGGGGGGAUGCACUUGAUUAUUCGACAAUCAUGUGGCAUGCUUAAAAUAAAUCUGCCAAUCCCCCGUCAUGCUUAGACCCUAAUGAGACCCGCUUUAUAUUCAUAACCAUAUGAUUAAACAGUCAGGCUGUGAUGAUCGUCUGAUUAUCGCCCUUAUAGUAUUCAUUACCAUAUGAUUAAACAGUUAGUCUGUGAUGAUUGUCUGAAUAUUGCCGAGAUGAUUGUCUGAUCAUUGCCCUUGUUUAUCAUGAUCAUAUAUAUGACUAAACAGUUAGGCCAUGAUGAUUGUCUGAUUACUGCCCUUGUUUAUCAUGAUCAUAUAUAUGACUAAACAGUUAGGCCGUGAUGAUUGUCUGAUUAUUGCCUUUGUUUAUCAUGAUCAUAUAUAUGACUAAACAGUUAGGCCGUAAUGAUUGUCUGAUUAUUGCCCUUGUUUAUCAUGAUCAUAUAUAUGACUAAACAGUUAGGCCGUGAUGAUUGUCUGAUUAUUGCCAUUUUUUAUCAUGAUCAUAUAUAUGACUAAACAGUUAGGCCGUGAUGAUUGUCUGAUUAUUGCCCUUGUUUAUCAUGAUCAUAUAUAUGACUAAACAGUUAGGCCGUGAUGAUUGUCUAAUAAUUGCACUUGUUUAUCAUGAUGAUAUAUAUGAUUAAACAGUUAGGAUAUGAUGAUUGUUUGAUUAUUGCCUUUAAUAUUCAUUACCAUAUGAUUAAACAGUUAGGCUGUGAUGAUUGUCUGGAUAUUACCUUGAUAAUCAUAAUCGUAUGAUUAAACAGUUAGGCCAUGAUGAUCGCCUGAUUAUUGCACUUCAUAAUCAUGAUCAUAUGAUUAAACAGUUUGGCAAGUACAUGUAUGAUUGUUUGAUUAUUGCCCAUAAUAUUCAUGAUUAUCUGAUUACACAGUUUGACCGUGAUGAUCAUUUGAUUAUUUUCCUUACUAUUCAUGAUUAUCUAAUGUAAGGUUUGUUGCCCUUGAUAUUCACUAAGAACCAUAGAAAAAUACGUAUAUACCGUAUACUAUACUUAAACACAAUAGACAACAAAAUAAGCUUAUAUCCAAGAAUAAUAGACAAUAUAAAAAACCUAUUUCUAGCAACAAUAAACUAUACAUAUAGACUUAAACUAAAAACCAUAGACAAAACAUAUCAUGCAUAUAUCCCUUAUCUAAGAUCAAUAGAUAAUACAUAUAAACUUAACUUAAAAACCAUAGAAAAAACUUAUAGUGCAUAUAUCCUGUAUCUAAGAACCAUAGACAAUACAUUAAAACCUAACCUAAGAACCAGAACCAUAGACAAUACACAUAAAUUAACCUAUGAACCAUAGACUAUACAUAUAGACUCUACCAAAGAACUACAGACAAUACAUAUAGACUUAAGAGGGCCCUCAUGGGGUUUUUGAUUAUGUGAUUACUUGGCCGUGUUUUUAAUGAUUAUUUGAUUAUUAAGCCAAAUAUUUCAUGAUUAUUUGAUUACCUAGGACUGUAUUUUUAGUUUAUGAUUAUUUGAUUACUAAAGAUAAGCAAAUAUUUAAUGAUUAUGUGAUUAUAUUGGCAAAAAAAUGGUUAUUAUGUGAUUACUAGGACCCCCCCAUGAGGGGCCUCACUUAACCUAAGAACCACAGACAAUACUGAAACAACAGAACCAAGAAACCACAAGACAAUAUAGACUUAAGACCUAAGAACCACAGACAAUACAUAUAUACUGAACCUAAGAAACACAGACAAUACAUAUAGACUGAACCUAAGAACCACAGACAAUACAUAUAGACUGAACCUAAGAACCACAGACAACACAUAUAGACAGACCACAGACAUAUAGACUGAACCUAAGAACCACAGACAAUACAUAUAGACUGAACCUAAGAACCACAGACAAUACAUAUAGACUGAACCUAAGAACCACAGACAAUACAUAUAGACUUAACCUAAGAACCUAAAUACUAAACUAAGAACCACAGACAACAUACAUACAGACUGAACCUAAGAACCAUAAACAAUACUCUUAGACUAAACCUAAGAACCAUAGACAAUACACAUAAAUUAAACCUAAGAACCAUAGACUCUACAUAUAGACUCUACCUAAGAACCACAGUCAAUACAUACAGACUGAACCUAAGAACCACAGACAAUACAUAUAGACUAAACCUAAGGACCAUAGACAAUACACAUAAAUUAAACCUAAGAACCAUAGACUACACAUAUAGAUUCUUCCUUGGAACCACAGACAAUACAUAAAGACUGAACUUAAGAACCACAGACAAUACAUAUAGAUUCUUCUUAAGAACCACAGACAAUACAUAUAGACUAAACCUAAGAACCAUAGACAAUACAUAUAGACUAAACAUAAGAAUCAUAGACAAUACACAUAAAUUAAACCUAAGAACCUUAGACUAUACAUAUAGACUCUUCCUUAGAACCACAGACAAUACAUAUUGACUGAACCUAAGAACCACAGACAAUACAUAUAGAUUCUUCUUAAGAACCACAGACAAUACAUAUAGACUAAACCUAAGAACCAUAGACAAUACAUAUAGACUAAACAUAAGAAUCAUACACAAUACACAUAAAUUAAACCUAAGAACCAUAGACUAUACAUAUAGACUCUUCCUUAGAACCACAGACAAAACAUAUAGACUGAACCUAAGAACCACAGACAAUACAUAUAGACUAAACCUAAGAACCACAGACAAUACAUAUAGACUAAACCUAAGAACCACAGACAAUAACAUAUAGACUUAACCUAAGAAAUCAUAGACAAUACACAUAAAUUAAACCUAAGAACCAUAGACUAUACAUAUAGACUCUUCCUUAGAACCACAGACAAUACAUAUAGACUGAACCUAAGAACCACAGAUUAUACAUGUAGAUUUUUCUUAAGAACCACAGACAAUACAUAUAGACUAAACCUAAGAACCACAGACAAUACAUAUAGACUUAACCUAAGAAUCAUAGACAAUACACAUAAAUUAAACCUAAGAACCAUAGACUAUACAUAUAGACUGAACCUAAGAACCACAGAUUAUACAUGUAGAUUCUUCUUAAGAACCACAGACAAUACAUAUAGACUAAACCUAAGAACCAUAGACAAUGCAUAUAGACUAAACCUAAAAACAAUAGACAAUACUCUUAGACUAAACCUAAGAACCAUAGACAAUACACAUAAAUUAAACCUAAGAACCACAGACAAUACAUGUAGACUGAACCAAAGAACCACAGACAAUACAUAUUAACUAAACCUAACAACCACAGACAAUACAUAUAGACUGAACCUUUGAACCUAAGAACCACAUAAGUAUAUACUUAACCUAAGAACCACAGACAAUACAUAUAGACUAAACCUAAGAACCAUAGACAAUACAUAUAGACUUUUCCUUAGAACCACAGACAAUACAUAUAAACUCUUCCUAAGAACCACAGACAAUACACAUAAAUUAAACCUUAGAACCAAAGACUAUACAUAUAGACUCUUCCUUAGAACCACAUACAAUACAUAUAGACUGAACCUUAGAACCACAGACAAUACAUAUAGACUCUUCCUAAGAACCACAGACAAUAUAUAUGGACUGAACCUUAGAACCACAGACUAUUCAUAUAGACUCUACCUAAGAACCAUAGACAAUACAAGUAAAUCACAUAUUUAAACUUUUUAAGUAAUUAUGUAUGAAAACUUUUGUUGAACCACAAAGUUUAAUAUCCAUGUAAAUAUAAUGUUUCCAUUACCAAUAAUAUUUGUUACAUUGAUUUCAAUUAUUUUUCUGCCUUCAGAUUUCAAAGAGACUUGGUUCAUUAAUUCUCAGCUAACAGAUUCACAUUUUAAAGGAUUUGGACACACUCUGUAAGGUCACAUCAGAUGUAUUAGAUACUGGUAUGUAUAAAGACAAAAUCAAUAUUGUUUUAUGUUUGGACUUGGUAAGUGUUCCAUGCUUUAAUUUAUACCCCCAUCAUUUAAGGUUAAAAUUUUCCUUUUUCUCUACAAACCCAAAUGUUUUUGGACAAGAAACAUAGGUAAAGAAAUUAAAAGAUGUGCAGUGAUUGCCACUACAGACAAUACAUAUACACUGAUCCUAAGAACCACAAACAAUACAUAUAGACUAAACCUAAGAACCACAGACAAUACAUAUAGACUAAACCUAAGAACCAUAGACAAUUCACAUAAAUUAAACCUAAGAACCAUAGACUAUACAUAUAGACUCUACCUAAGAACCACAGACAAUACAUAUAGACUGAACCGAAGAACCACAGACAAUACAUAUAAACUAAACCUAAGAACCACAGACAAUACAUAUAGAUACUGAACCUAAGAACCACAGACAAUACAUAUAGACUAAACCUAAGAACCAUAGACAAUACAUAUAGACUCUUCCUUAGAACCACAGACAAUACAUAUAGACUGAACCUAAGAACCACAGACAAUACAUAUAGACUCUUCCUAAGAACCACAGACAAUACAUAUGGACUGAACCUUAGAACCACAGACAAUACAUAUAGACUAAACCUAAGAACCAUAGACAAUACAUGUAGCCUAUACAUAAGAACCACAGACAAUACAUAUAGACUAUAUCUAAGAACCAUAGACAAUACAUACAGACUGAACCUAAGAACCAUAGACUAUCCAUAUAGACUCUACCUAAGAAACAUAGACAAUACAUGUAAAUCACAUAUUUAAACUUUUUAAGUAAUUAUGUAUGAAAACUUUUGUUGAACCACAAAAUUUAAUAUCCAUGUAAAUAUAAUGUUUCCAUUACCAAUAAUAUUUGUUACAUUGAUUUCAAUUAUUUUUCUGUCUUCAGAUUUCCAAGAGACUUGGUUCAUUAAUUCUCAGCUAACAAAUUCACAUUUUAAAGGAUUUGGACACACUCUGUAAGGUCACAUCAGAUGUAUUAGACACUGGUAUGUAUAAAGACAAAAUCAAUAUUGUUUUAUGUUUGGACUUGGUAAGUGUUCCAUGCUUUAAUUUAUACCCCCAUCAUUUAAGGUUAAAAUUUUCCUUUUUCUCUACAAACCCAAAUGUUUUUGGACAAGAAACAUAGGUAAAGAAAUUAAAAGAUGUGGAGUGAUUGCCACUACAGACAAUACAUAUACACUGAACCUAAGAACCACAGACAAUAUAUAUAGACUAAACCUAAGAACCACAGACACUACAUAUAGACUAAACCUAAGAACAAUAGACAAUACUCUUAGACUAAACCUAAGAACCAUAGACAACGCACAUAAACUAAACCUAAGAACCAUAGACUAUACAUAUAGACUCUACCUAAGAACCACAGACAAUACAUAUAGACUGAACCGAAGAAACAGACAAUACAUAUAAACUAAACCUAAGAACCACAGACAAUACAUAUAGAUACUGAACCUAAGAACCACAGACAAUACAUGUAAAUCACAUAUUUAAACUUUUUAAGUAAUUAUGUAUGAAAACUUUUGUUGAACCACAAAGUUUAAUAUCCAUGUAAAUAUAAUGUUUCCAUUGCCAAUAGUAUUUGUUACAUUGAUUUCAAUUAUUUUUCUGUCUUCAGAUUUCCAAGAGACUUUGUCAUUAAUUCUCAGCUAACAAUUCACAUUUUAAAGAUUUGGACACACUCUGUAAGGUCACAUCAGAUGUAUUAGAUACUGGUAUGUAUAAAGACAAAAUCAAUAUUGUUUUAUGUUUGGACUUGGUAAGUGUUCCAUGCUUUAAUUUAUACCCCCAUCAUUUAAGGUUAAAAUUUUCCUUUUUCUCUACAAACCCAAAUGUUUUUGGACAAGAAACAUAGGUAUAGAAAUUAAAAGAUGAGGAAUGAUUGCCACCAAAGACAAUACAUAUAGACUGAACCUAAGAACCAUAGACUUUACCUAAGAACCAUAGACAUUACCUAUAGACUUUACCUAAGAACCAUAGACAAUACUUAAUAAAGCCUAUAUCUAAGAACCACAGACAAGACAUAUAGCCUAUAUCUAAGAAUUAUAGACAAUACAUAUAGUCUAUAUCUAAGAACCAUAGACAUUACAUACAGACUGAACAUAAGAACCAAAGACAAUACAUAAAGACUUUAUCUAAGAACCAUAGACAAAACAUAGACUUUUCCUUAAAACCAUAGACAAAACAUACAGAAUCUUCCUAAGAACUAUAGACAUUAUUUAUAUCCUUUAUCUUAGAACCAUAGACAAUACAUAUAGACUACAUAAUAACCAAAGACAAUACACAUAGACUGAACCUAAGAACCAUAGACAAUACACAAAGACUGAACUUAAGAAUAAUAGACAAUUCAUGUAGACUUUUCUAAGAACCAUAGACAAUACGUAUAGCCUUUAUAUCUAAGAACCAUAGACAAUACAUAUAGCCUAUAUCUAAGAACUAUAGACAAUACAUAUAGCCUAUAUCUAAGAACCUUAUAAGGCUCGUGUGAAAACUUUUGUAAAACCACAAAAUCAAAUAUCCAUGUCAAUACAAUUUUUACCAUUUCCUAUAAUAUUUGUUAUAUUGAAUUCAAUUAUUUUUCUGUCUUUAGAUUUCCAGAUGACUUGUUGCAUUCAUUCUCAGUUAACAAAUUCACCAUGUUCACAGUGUAAAGGAUUUGGACACACUCUGUAAGGUCACACGAGAUGUUUUAGAUACCGGUAUGUAUAUAGACAAUAUCAAUGCAUGUGUUCCAUGUGUUAAUUUAGACUACCAUAGGUUAAAAUUAAAAGUUUCCUUUUUCUCUAUAAACCCAUAGGUUGUUGCACCAGAAACAAAGAUAUCAUAAUAUAAAAAGAUUUGGUAUGAUUGCCACCAGAGACUAAGUGACAUUAAAGGUAAGGAACUUAAGGUCACUGUUCAGCAUUCAACAAUGAACAAAACCUUAAAUAACAAAUGAAAAUAUUCAGCUGAUAAAUUGCUAAAAUCAUCAGAUCAAUACAAACAUGAUAAUUAAAUCACCAAAACAAAUGGAGCCAAUUUAUCAGCAAAAUAGAUUUUUCUGAUCAUGUUUGUUGUGACCAAUGAAAUAUGAUUCAAAUAUAUUGCUUGAAAAUUAAAUCUGCAAGGCCCUGCUAUUUAUGUUUCCUAGGCUUAUAAUAGGGGUUGAAAUCCUGACCAUUUGUCCACUUUAACAUCAACCUCCAUUAUACAUAACUGAAGUUUCUUAGGCAUAGUUCUGUAUUCCAAGAUCAACAAAAAGUGUAAUGAUUUAAUACUUACACAUGUAAUCAUCAAUUUGAAACACUUUCAGCUUUUAACAAUGGUCAUAAAAGACAUUUCUUAACCUUCUCUUUAAUAUAUUUCCAACAUGAGAAAAUAUAUCCAUUAUAAAAUAUGUGGCAAGGAAACCUAUAGUGAUUUAUACAAGAAUGUCAUUCUAUACAAAAAUGUCAUUCUAUACAAGAAUGUCAUUCUAUACAAGAAUGUCAUUCUAUACAAGAAUGUCAUUCUAUACAAGAAUGUCAUUCUAUACAAGAAUGUCUUUCUAUACAAGAAUGUAAUGUUGAUCUUAUUGAUAAUCUAAUGGAACUUUUUCAUAGGGUCAUCUCCUAUGGGUCAAGGUAUUUAUACAUUUAUCUGUUCUAUUACUAAUUGAAAAAAUACAAUAGUUAUAAGCCUCUUUAUACUAUCACUGGGACCUUUAGAUAUAUUCAAAGAGAAAUCUAUCACUCAAUGAUUAAUAUACAUGAAUAAAAAAACGGUCUGCUAAAUGGAUGAAAAGAUAUGUAUCAACUCACAAAACCUCUUGCUUGUCAAUAAUUUAAAUUCUGCAAGAUCAUGCAUGAACAAAAGAAUCAUAUUUUGGCCAGAAACUAUGUGACAGAAUGUGGUCAACUGCUAUACAGUAGUAAUGAGUUGUAGAGAAUUUGCUUUUUUAAGAACUGUCAUGACUCAUGCACCAAAUUCAUAUUCUAUACUUUCUUUUCAAAAUGCAAUGUGUUCUGUCUGACAUCUUUGAAAGUGCAUAGUUUAAGUACUACAAGAAUUAACGAGAGCUUACGAAUUCUAACAUAAUGAUUUUAUAUUUCAGGUUGGUUCACAUCUACUAUGCAAAAGUUCAC